UACGGAGGGAGCUAGCGUUAUUCGGAAUUACUGGGCGUAAAGCGCACGUAGGCGGCUUUGUAAGUAAGAGGUGAAAGCCCAGAGCUCAACUCUGGAAUUGCCUUUUAGACUGCAUCGCUUGAAUCAUGGAGAGGUCAGUGGAAUUCCGAGUGUAGAGGUGAAAUUCGUAGAUAUUCGGAAGAACACCAGUGGCAAAGGCGGCUGACUGGACAUGUAUUGACGCUGAGGUGCGAAAGCGUGGGGAGCAAACAGG
rnacentral:rRNA from 1 species